AUAAUAGUCAAACCUUGGAUUUAGGAGGAACAAGGCAAAUUCCAGCCUGACUGGGGAACAGAGAAUCAACUCUUCUCCCUUUCACAAUUAGGGUACUUGGAAACGCUAUUACAGUCUCCAUGUGCUUUGUGGACUUAGACAAGGCAUUUAACUAUAUGCCCUAGGGUAUCAGGCCAGCUACUGCGUACUAUUCAGUCCCUAUAUGAAUGCAAGACAGCUGCGGUUUGAAGGACAUCCAGUACGAGAGGCUAGAAGUGACGUUUCUGCUAUUUGUAGAUGAUACCAUGCACUUGGUCUCAUCCAACCAGGACGUCCAAGGCAUACUUGAGUGAUGCCCAGUGUGAAUCAACAGAGAAGAAAAUUGGCACCUCCAAAGAUUCGAGACUCUUUUGGAAAAGAGUGGAUUGUUCCUUUAAGGUGAGAGAGAAGAAGUCUGCCCUUUGUGAAGGCGCAGAGGUUUAAGUACUUCUGGAUCUUGUUUACAAAUGACGGCACUGAGGAGGUCUGUGGAGAUUCAGUGUUAACUAGUGGUUAAUAUGCCUAACCUGACCAGGAUCCUCAAUUUACUCAUGAGCUGCAGGGCGAGAGGAUUGGAUCGAGAGGGACCUCAAAAGACAUCUGCUGCUCAUUUGAAUGGAGAGGAAUCAGCUGAGGUGGUCUGCGUAUCUUAUAGGGAUGCAACUUGGAUCAUUCCGAAGGAGCUUUUCCAGACACAUCCCACUGGGCAGAGCCUCCAGGGAAGACCCAGAACACACUGAAGGGACUAUAUCUUUCAGGUGAUCUUGAGAAUGUCUAGGUAUCCCCCAAAACAAGCUAAAGUCUGUGGUCAUGGAAAAAGUUCGUCCUGCUGGGCAUGAUGCCACCACAACCAUCAAAAAAACAUUUCAAUAUAUCAAUAUCGACAAUGUAGCAGUAUUUCAGUUUAAAAUUUAUUUUUAACAAUUUUGAAAACAAUGUAAGCAGGUACAAAAUGAGAUUUAAAUAUGUAAAGUUUUCAUGGAGAUUGAGAAAACAGUCCAAGGAUUUUGUAAGAUGUGAUCAUUUAAUGCAUUUUGUCUCUGACAUCUGACCAAUGGCAAGGUCUCGAUCUGUGACGGAUGCCAGCCAACACUGAUAUGUUCACCAAUGCAUGGCGCGUCUCCAAUAGCAAUGAAGAAUGAACCACAUUUUAGUCCACAUAGGCCGCUGUUGUGCUAAUCACAUGAAGAGUUAUGAAAAAGUGACUUCAGUAUGGAAAAAUGCUUGUUAGCAACUGUAAGAACUGGCACAGCAGUCUUUCACCCCACUGGAGGAAUUUUAGUCUACUUUUCUUCGCAUAACUUCACUCCAGACACACUGGUAGGUUCUUAAGAAUGACCAGCCCAUUUUCCACCUUUUCAGACAUGCGGAUAUGGAUUUGCAUUUGUGUUUUGUAUCAUUGUACGUAACAAAGCAGCCAUCCGGGUCCCAAGGCAACAAAGCACCCUGACACCAUCACAGUACUGCCGCUGCGUUUGACAUCUGGUACGAUGUUAAUUCCGUGAAAUUCUAUAUUUGCUUUGUGCCACACAUAAUGGAACCCUUGUUGUCCAAAAAGGUCCACCUUUGACUCGUCUGUUUAAAUCAUAUCAUCCCUAAGGGAUCGGGAAUCAUCCAGCUACUUUUUUCACUAAUGUGAUACGUGCUUUGGGGUGUAACUUGGUAGCGGUGGUUCCCGGAGUGAUAUCCUGCCGUGAAUCCCAUUUUUCUCCACUCUGUUCCAUUUUGUGGAGGCAGGAACACUGAUCUUAGCUGAGACUGGAGAGGUCUGCACUCCCUCGGAUAUUAUUCUGGAAUCUUUUGAGAUUACUUGAUACACUGUCACUGUACCCUUGGAGAAAAUUUGGCAGCCUGACCACUCCUGGGAAGAUUCACCACUGUUACAAGUGCUCUCCAUUUAGAGAUAAUGACUCUCUGUAUGGUCCAGUGGAGCCCCAGAGCCUUAGAAAUCGCUUUGUAACCCUUUGGUGCAUAUAGUUCAACACCUUUUUUUCUAAUCUCUUUUGGGGACUUCCUUUGAUCACGGUAUGCUGUGCUUGUGGAAAGUUUGUGGUGACUCACUCUGGUAGGAAGAUUCAAAAUUAAUGAGGUUUAGAUUCAAUUGUGCUGGCUGCAAUCAGGUCUGGCUGUGUCCAAUCAGCUGAAUCUAAUUACCAAUUAAAUUUGGUUAAUUGUAUCAAUGA